rnacentral:rRNA from 1 species
UCCUUUAAGUUUCAGCCUUGCGGCCGUACUCCCCAGGUGGCAGACUUAUUGUCUUCACUGCGGCACUGGAUAGGCUCGAAGCCUAUCCAACACCUAGUCUGCAUCGUUUACAGCUGGGACUACCCGGGUAUCUAAUCCGGUUCGCUCCCCCAGCUUUCGUCCCUCACCGUCGGGCGCGUACUAGCCGAGCGCCUUCGCCACUGGUGGUCCUUCCGGGAUUAUAGGAUUUCGCCCCUACCCCGGAAGUACCCUCGGCCUCUUCCGCCCCCAAGCCUAUCAGUAUCUUCGGCGAUCCCACGGUUGAGCCGUGGGUUUUAGCCGGAGACUUAGUAAGCCGGCUACGGACGCUUUAGACCCAAUAAACGUCCCGACCACUC